rnacentral:rRNA from 1 species
GGGCCCGCACAAGCGGUGGAGUAUGUGGUUUAAUUCGAUGCAACGCGAAGAACCUUACCAGGGUUUGACAUCCUGCGAAUCUCUUGGAAACGAGAGAGUGCCUUCGGGAACGCAGUGACAGGUGGUGCAUGGCUGUCGUCAGCUCGUGUCGUGAGAUGUUGGGUUAAGUCCCGCAACGAGCGCAACCCACGUCGUUAGUUGCCAGCAGUUCGGCUGGGCACUCUAUGGAAACUGCCCGUGAUAAGCGGGAGGAAGGUGUGGAUGACGUCAAGUCCUCAUGGCCCUUACGGGUUGGGCUACACACGUGCUACAAUGCUACGGACAAAGGGCAGCAAACUCGCGAGAGCUAGCAAAUCCCAUAAACCGUGGCUCAGUUCAGAUCGUAGGCUGCAACUCGCCUACGUGAAGGAGGAAUCGCUAG